CCGCUCAGGAAAAGGGACAGUCAGAAACUAUCAGGGUUAAAAGCUUCUGCCCUCCCUCCAGCCCAAGCAAUCAGAGAUGACAAACUCAAACGGUGGCCCCUAGCCAGCCCCUUAAAAAGCAACCAGAAGCGUUUAAGGAAGAUCCUUCUGCUGGGAUCUGGCUGCUGCCCAUCUUUCUCCAACAGCAGUCGCUGCAAGCCCAGCGCUGUGGAAACUGCUUCACGCUGCUGGGGAAAGGGAGGCUUGGGCUGUUCCCAUCCCGGGCAGAUCGAACACUGACAGAUCUAGGCCGAGGUCUGCUCCAAGUCCUGCGUGUACUGACACCGCCUGGGUACAGAGUUACCUUGUGUGGAAGAGAAACGUGGAGCCCCUUGUGCAAGCAGUGAAAGGCACCUUCUUCACGCUCACACCUCUGAUGCUGUCAUUUUCUACUACUCCUGCUUGGACGCUUCACCUCCCCUGCUGCACAAGUGUUGGGUGCAGCAUAUCCUGCGGUGCAGCUGCCACUCUGAAGUACCAAAUACCACCUACCUUUGUUAAUUAACACUGGGUACCUGAAUGUGUUAGGACAAACAGGCAAAAACAUGCAUUACACAUACAAAUGCCUCCUUUGUGAAGAUCUAUAAACAAUGAGGGCUGUCUUAAAUUCUUUUUCACUUUAUUUGUUCUUAAGGAAGCAAUAGUAUUCAUUGCAGCUAAAAGUUUCUUGUUCUGUCUAAACAUUUCUCUUAUAGGGAUUCACACUCCUAAAUCUUAGCAUUAAUCUACAUUUCUUUCCUGUUAUUUUUGUUGUUGUUGUUGUUUGUUUUUAAGUUAAUAUCCUUUUGGAGGGGUUUUGCAUAAUAUAUUCAGAUUUGUUAUCGCUUCACUCACUUUAAAAAAGUUCAG